UUCAUCACAGCGAGCAAUGUCUACCACUGUUAUGGCCACUAAUACAUUUUGACUACCAUGCCUCAUUUGCAGCAACCUUCAGUUCAGAACUGAAAUACAAAGCAGGAAAACAACAAAUAUUAGAAUGACUUUUGGGUCUACAUCAGCAUUUUCAUAUUUCCUCCAGUUGCUGCUAAAUGGCUAAUCCUCAGUUCCAAAUGAAAGCUCCUGUCUUUUCAUUGAUUCUGACUGCUUCUUUUCAUAUGAAAUGUGUUUCAGCUACAGCUCUGUCAAUUUAAACACCACGGGCAGGUCUGUAUAACCUAACCUCCACACAUACCAACCUGGUGUUCCCUGUAUCCUCCUGACCUGACAAGAAGGGCAAACAACCAUCUCUGUGCAGAGGGACAGUAUAGACUUUGUGAAUGUGGGAGACUGUUAGCAGGAAAUAUAGAUGCCCAGACCAACUUCAAACUACAUACUAUGCUGUGCAGCUACUUGUUUAGAGGACUCAAGCUGGAGAACAUCAGAGCAAAGUCAAUGCCACUGAAACAGGGUCUCUGCUGGUUGAGUAUCUACUCCACUCAAAUAAAGAGGAGUCCCUGCAAGUCCCCACUACACCAAAAGGAAAUUCCCAAUAUACAAGAAAUUAUUUGGACUUCAAAACUACCAAAGGAAGCUUAUCACACCUACUUUUCUUUUACUGCAAGGUCUCCAAGACAGUGCUAUCAGCUCUGCAAUUAAAUGUACUACAGACAGCCAAGAUUGUAUCUACUGUGACCAUAUCAUUAUUAAAAAAAUUAACUUUCAGCAAUAUUUCUGAAAUAUUAUUGCCCCUUUCAAAAGCACACUAAAACUACUGAGGCAACCAGUUUCACAUCAAAACAUGCAAAGUAAAUGAACUGCUCAUAUGAACUGAGUUUGCCAUAGAACUGAAAUUUUUCCCAUCUUGUUCAAGUGUCUCCUUUCCGAAAUGGCUCUUCCAGCUUGUGUCUUUUCCAUCCUGCUCCUUGCAAGUAUGUGACAGAAGUAGUAAUAUAAAACAGUUCACAGGUAUUUAGCAUCUCUUUGCAUUCACAGACUCAGUUGUACUACUUUGGAAGGCAGU